CUAGACCAGUGGGAGAGCUACAGGUUGUAUCUCUAACCCAGCUGUAACUACACUAGACCAGUGGGAGAGCUACAGGUUGUAUCUCUAACCCAGCUAUAACUACACUAGACCAGUGGGAGAGCUACAGGUUGAACCUCUAACCCAGCUAUAACUACACUAGACCAGUGGGAGAGCUACAGGUUGUAUCUCUAACCCAGCUAUAACUACACUAGACCAGUGGGAGAGCUACAGGUUGAACCUGUAACUACACUAGACCAGUGGGAGAGCUACCGGUUGAAUCUCUAACCACACUAGACCAGUGGGAGAGCUACAGGUUGUAUCUCUAACCACACUAGACCAGUGGGAGAGCUACAGGUUGAACCUCUAACCCAGCUAUAACUACACUAGACCAGUGGGAGAGCUACAGGUUGAAUCUCUAACCCAGCUAUAACUACACUAGACCAGUGGGAGAGCUACAGGUUGAACCUCUAACUACACUAGACCAGUGGGAGAGCUACAGGUUGAAUCUCUAACCCAGCUAUAACUACACUAGACCAGUGGGAGAGCUACAGGUUGAAUCUCUAACCCAGCUAUAACUACACUAGACCAGUGGGAGAGCUACAGGUUGUAUCUCUAACCCAGCUAUAACUACACUAGACCAGUGGGAGAGCUACAGGUUGUAGUGCGGAGGUCUCUCUGUCGUGUCAUUUAUAUUUUAAACAAAAUAACUACUGUAGAUGGAUUCAAAACAGUUCUAUAUUUUAUUGAGAGAAAUAAACCAACACACACACAAACACACACACACACACACACUCACACACUCCUACCUGCAGGGCUUUGACGUUGGACGAUGGUUUAGACAUGCUGCUCGUUCAGUCAGUCAACUAUCCUGCAGGAAAUACAAAGCAUUGAGGGUUAGGGUUAGAGUCAGACAGGUGAGAGAGACUGGCUCAGAUCAAACUGAUGAGAUUAGACCAGACAAGACUGGGGAGAGACUGUGUGUGUGUGUGUGUGUGUGUGUGUGUGUGUGUGUGUGUGUGUGUGUGUGUGUGUG
rnacentral:lncRNA from 1 species